rfam:Faecalibacterium sp. CAG:82 genomic scaffold, scf72
UUAAAGAGAUACCGGGUGUCGGGCACUUCCUCCUCCGGCUGUUCUCCUUCACAGCUGACAGUCCCCCCCGCACCGCACAGGCGGUAUCUCGCUUCGUGUGCAAAAAAGCUCAUC